CCUACGGGUGGCAGCAGUCGAGAAUUUUUCACAAUGGGCGAAAGCCUGAUGGAGCGACGCCGCGUGGGGGAUGAAUGGCUUCGGCCCGUAAACCCCUGUCAUCUGGGAACAAUGCUUCCGACCCAAUACGUCGGGAGUUGAUAGUACCGGAAGAGGAAGGGACGGCUAACUCUGUGCCAGCAGCCGCGGUAAUACAGAGGUCCCGAGCGUUGUUCGGAUUCACUGGGCGUAAAGGGUGCGUAGGCGGUCGGUUAAGUCUGAUGUGAAAUCUCCAAGCUCAACUUGGAAAUGGCAUCGGAAACUAUCCGGCUCGAGGAGUGGAGGGGAGACUGGAAUUCUCGGUGUAGCAGUGAAAUGCGUAGAUAUCGAGAGGAACACCAGUGGCGAAGGCGAGUCUCUGGACACUUCCUGACGCUGAGGCACGAAAGCCAGGGGAGCAA
rnacentral:rRNA from 1 species